GGGCAUUGCACAAGGCGAUCAUACAGUGAGACCAGCCUAAGGUCCGUCUUUUCACAGCACGGGCAGCAUAGGAGCUUGCAGGCGAGAGGGGGUGAGGAAAAGACGGACCUUAGGCUGGUCUGGCUACAGCGUUCGCCAGAACCAGACUCCUGGUGUGGGGUUGGCCAUUGAGACUUGUUGGUGACCACUGCAAGCAUAUUUCAACUAAAGUCCACUUAGAUGGUUUUAGACUUCCCUGAUUGCACCCAGCCCCCUAUCAGUGGACUACGCCGAGGGCGCGAUGUAGUGUAACUAAGAGGAUCAUGGACUUCCCUGCACCGUGCGAGCUUAGCGCCGUGGAGUUAGGCAGCCAAUGCUGCACCAACACCAAAAUGACCGAGUUUCAAGGUUGGUAGGUUGGCACUGCUGGAGUGUCGGUAGGUCACGGAGGAAAACUGUCAUGGCGGCUUGUUGAUUUUCCCUCCGAUCCGAAUUUGCAGUAACUUCUUGGAUCGACUUCGCGGUUGGAUUAUGUGUCGUAAAUAAUGUUAAAUUUGAAUUUAAAAUAUUCUGAUUGUUGAUACUCGUUUGGAGAGCCCCUAGCGUUUGAUUUUCACGGCCGUUACGUUCGUGUCGCGCAAGGGGUUAGGAUGCGUUGUGGCACCUUUCCUAAAUUUAGUUUUGCUUUGUUCCGACGUGUUUGGCCGGCUCAAAUUAACGAUCAACAUUAAUCCGAACUACUGCUCCUGUGAAAGCUCGCCCGUGUCGAGUUACACCCCUUGAUUUGUGCCUGAUUUCUUUUCAUUUCAACAGGUGAGCGGUGGUUGGAUGUUUGGUGUGUCUAUUUCGUGAUGAGCUCUGUUAGACGUCGUUCUAGAAUCUCAAGUAAACUUCUGAAAUCCGAGGUCGUGAGCUGUGCAUUGAGAUUAUUCUUCGUGGAGAAACUGUGGAUGGUGAUUUCGCAGUGAACGUGAUCUUUGAGACACCAGUCUGUGUUGGAUUGUGAUGAGGUUCCGUGGAGGAUCGAGUCGGAUUAUUGAUGAAACAGCCUUGACCACCAGUAUUGCUUGUUACCCAUGGCAGAUUGAUCGUGCCCAGGUUACUGCUGGGAUGGUUGUGAAAAUACGAUCCAUCUGAAUCUGCACACUGCAUCAUGCGAAACUUAUUCAUCUGCUAGUAUUCACUGAGAUGUUUCUAUUAUCAAAGCAGACCUCUUUAGUGUUUUAAGUCCCCUCCUCUUAUUUAAACUAAGAAAUUAUGUGUAACAUAUGUGCUAUUGAUUUUUAUGGUAUGUUCCAGUAUCUAUCUAAUGAUGGUAGGGUUAAAACAGUUCUAUUGAAAUUUUUCCUCCACAAAAGAUUUUAUAAAUUAGCCUUCUCCAUUUUUGUCAUUAUCGAAGCAGCCUCUCUAGCAUUGUGGAGUUUGUCUCAUCAUGUCUGUGAUGAUGAUGGGGGCCAAACAGAUUUCUGUUCAUGGGUGCUCUCAGAUGUGCUCAGAUGUAUAUAUUUUUCACAUUCCCUUCACAUUUUGAAUGUGCCUACAUUUUUGAAGCUUCUGUAGUUGCUGUAGUUAGAUUUUGCUGGGUUAGUUUUAGUGUUUUCUUUGCCUUUUAAUUCCUACAAUGCAUGAGUAGUAUUUUCUCUAAAUGCAAGCUACAUGCUCUGCUUCUUUGCCAUAUUGUUGCGUGUAACCAUAGCUUCUGAUCUUGAUGUCUCUUUACUGCUGCUGUUUUUGUUCUGAAUGCCUUAGGAUUAUGUUGUUGUAUAGCUCAAGUUUAGAAUUAAUUAAUUAAUUAUCUAGGUGUUUGUUGCUUAUCUGACAGUUGUGAAGGGAAAUAAUUAAGCUUUCUUAAAUAUGAUUCUUGUUUCAAAUGUUAUUAUGUGCCGGCCUCAUCAUAUCAAUUAGUAUUUAAGUAAAUAUUAUUAUAUGUCAAGUUCUAAAUUAUGUCUUGUUUUAAAACGGUUUUGUAAUUUGUGUCUGUGAUCGUUAUGUCUUACUUUCGCACAUGACCACAUUAUGUUUCAAAGAGUUGUGUUCCCCUGUUGGCUUUUCUUUCUUUGUAUGUUGAUUUCUCGUUGCUUUGCCUUCUUCCUGCUUUUUCUUGCUCUGAAAAUUGUGUGCUUUGUUCUAUGACCUCUUAAUGCAAGCGUGGUUUUUGUUUUUUAUUUUACCAUUGCUUUUGCUUGCUGUGGAUUGUUAAUUGCUUUGUGCUUCUAUUUUGCCAUGCUUUUGUCUGAUCUUGCAAAUUCAAAUUUUGCCUUUUCUUUCUUGAUCUCUAGUCUGUUGCUGUCUUGCAUAAAAGAAACAAAAUCAAAAGAAAAACUUCCUUCCGAAUGCUUGUACACUUUGGAUAAAUGCUACAUUCCCUGUCGCAUCUAGCCUCCCCUGCUUUCUAGUCUUGUAUCAAGAGUUUGUUCCCCUUCCUCGCGAUCCAGCAAUGCUUUCUGUCAUUCUGUGGUCAUGUGUGAGUAAACAUAUGAGUUUUAUCUUACCUAUAGCAUUAAAUUUCUUGUCCAUAUAAACUUAAGAGUUUUAAUCUAAGAUGUUUGACACCCUGUUAUUCAACUCUCCUCACAACUUGUCAUGGGCCUGACAAAAGCAUGCUCUUGUAACUCUGAUUUUAGUUGUGUUUAUAUUUUGUUUGUUGUGUCUCAGUGUAUAUUUAUUCACUGCAUUCACCUUUUGUAUUUUCAGUAUUGCCUUGUGAAAUGUCUUGUUUUAGAAGUUUAGCCUGGCAUGAAUUCUGUUUUAUUUAGAUGUAGGUAAGGGAGGCUCAUGGAGUUGUGAGGAGAUAUGAGUGCACUGAACUACUGUAUGUUAAAUAUUACUCAAUGUGUUUACUAGCUACCUUGUUUUCUAUUUACAUAUUUUUUGUGUUUUGGGGGAUAUGUAAUUGUGAGGAUUAUUUCAUGUUACAAAUCAUUUGUGAGUCCUGCCAUUAACUGCGCUUUCCUGCUUGCUUUUGUUGGUGCAAUGCUUGCUUCUCUCCCUUCAUCCCCACCCCAUAGACACCCAACAAUACUUGAUAUGUCUGAUUCCUUAUUUUGUGAUUCAUAGACCUCUGUAAUCCUCUCCUAUUUCUGAGCCGUCUUGAAUCUCCUAUUGAACUUUCCUGCGUAUGCCCACCUAUUAUUUCUAAUUCUUAUCAUUUUUGUUUGGUGUGUGAUGCUUUGGUAUUCUUUGACUGUGUGUCUAAUUCUUUAGUUGCAAAUUCUUGAAUUUCUGUUGCUUGCUUUGUGCUUGACUAGUUUUCAAGAAUGCAUGGUUUGCCUCCGUUUGCUUUAUUUGGAAUGGAAUUGUCUGUCCUUGCUCGAGCUUCUGUAAAAGUCAGUUUUCCUGCAUAACUUCAUGCAUGUACAGUAGUCUGCUUUCUACUUUUCUACCCUCUGCUGUUCCAUGAAGCCUUUUCGUUUCUCUCCCCCCCCCUCUUUUUUGUUUUCAAAACUUCAGUUGGACGUGGGUGCAUGCUGAUAUCAUUAUUAAUGCUCGUUGUAUGUUGCCUGUUGCUCCAGUACUUACUGGUAUAUGUCCAUGCUUUCUCCUGCUGCAAAUUCAACUAUUGCUUAUUUGUUGCUUGCCUUAAUUUUUUUCCCAAAGACCACCACAUUUUUGCUUGCUUAAAACCUCAGUAUUUUAUUUCUAUUUUUAUGCUUUGUUUUCCUGUUUUGCCUCUUGUGAGUUCUCUGAAACCUGCCUGCAUGUUGAUUGCAUUGUUGUUUCUUUAUAAAGUCAAAUUGGCAGGCUCUUUGGCUAUGACCAAUUUCUAAACACUGUUAAUGAGUUUUAUGUGCUUUUUAAUUAAGUACUUCUGUCUGUGAUAAACUAUCUAAUCUAAUCUAUUGAUUGUGUCGAACUGUCUGUAUGUAAAUUGUUGUAACGCUUGUAAUGUUGUAAAGUUACGUUCCCUACUAUAUUUAAUUUCAUUUGAAAUGCGUGUGUGCUGAGGUUGUUUGCAGUGGAAAAGUUUGUAAUAAUGUACCUGUUCGCUUCUGCUUUUCAAACCUCCACAUUGUUUUUUUAUUUAUUUUUAUUAUUUGCUGGAGCUUUGUUAUCUUUGCUUCCUACUCUAUCAAUGCAACGUUUAUAUUCUCUCACUUCCUGCUUUAUAUUAUUUGUGGCUUGUCUUAUUGCAACAAAUGUAGUUGCCUAUUUUCAUUGCUCUAUUUGGCUUCUGUUGCUAUUUUUGUCAAGCCUCUCACAUGUUGAUAUCCAUAUACUUGUUCUUCAAGCAGUAUUUCUGUAUGUAUCUAAAAUCAUUCUUGAAACAUAGUGCAUAUCUUGUCAACAUUGUACGUGACCAUCAGGUUGGCCAUAUAUUUCUCAGAUAUUCUUCCUUGUGAGUUCAGCUUUGUUAAUACUGUAUACUGUUAUACUAUGAAUAUGUUUUUACCCAUGAAGUUGUUAACAUAUAUGUGGUAUGUGUAAUCUUCAGAAUGUUCGAAAGCUAUUAUUUAAGGGAGGUUUUCAUGUUCUCAUUGCCGAUAGUGGAUAGGAGUUAAAUAACUGGCUGUUGUGUAAAAUGAACUGUGCCAAUCAUUGUAGAGUCUGGCUGGCUGGGUGCCAUCUGUUUUGGAGUCACCCUGGUACUGCAGCAUUCUGUUAUUGUCUUUUUACUUUGGAGUAACUUGUCAAAUAGCAAUUUGGGAAUUGAAUAACCUUCAGCAGCAUGUUGUGGGGCAACCACCAUACCCAGUAGAAAGUUCACUGUUUAUCUUGUCCCCCCCCCCCCUCUACAGAAAUUGAUUAGAUUAGCUAGUAAAUAACUGAUAUUUUGUGCAUGCAUUUAUUUUAGCUUUUUGAGCACCUUUUUAGUUUUUUGCCUCUCUUUCUGCUUCUGCCACAACCUUUUUCUGCAUCUUUUUUUCUCUGCCGUGAGUGAAACGCGACGUUAGAUGUUGCAUAUCUUUUGCUUUUUGAAUUACCAUGCUUCCUUCACCAAAGAUUUUUCCAUUUAAAAUUUUAGAAAAGCUUAACAUUUAUUUGAAAUUUUUGCUAUGUGCUUCAAUACUUCAGGCAUGACGGCUUCCUUCUGCUGCUGCAAAUUCAACUUGCUUUCGUGCUCUCUAUUACAUUUCUCACUCUGGUCAUUUGAAACCACUGUACUUUAUGCUUAAACCUGAACUAUUUUCAAUUGCUCUAUUUUGAUGUAGUUGCUUUUCUUGUCAAGCCUACUCUUGCAUUUUCAGUCCCUAUGCUUGUGUAGAUAAAACCUUUGGCUUAUAGUUGUGUUGUAUGGUUGUAAAACUGCCCUGUAAAAAAUUUAACUCUUAUUGCUUGUAACAUUGUGCUGUUAUUUAUCUAGUAGUAAGCAGUAAAUUAGUCAAGUGCUCUUAACUGUGAUUCUCUGAGCUCAAUAAAAGAUAAUGCUACAGAAUUAA